UACAGAGGUCUCAAGCGUUGUUCGGAUUCAUUGGGCGUAAAGGGCGCGUAGGCGGUUCGUACAGUCAGACGUGAAAUUCCCGGGCUCAACCUGGGGACUGCGUUUGAUACGUGCGGGCUUGAGUUCGGAAGAGGGUCGUGGAAUUCCCAGUGUAGAGGUGAAAUUCGUAGAUAUUGGGAAGAACACCGGUGGCGAAGGCGGCGAGCCUGGUCCGAUACUGACGCUGAGGCGCGAAAGCGUGGGGAGCAAACAGG
rnacentral:rRNA from 1 species